rnacentral:rRNA from 1 species
GUGUCAGCCGCCGCGGUAAUACGAAGGGGGCUAGCGUUGCUCGGAAUUACUGGGCGUAAAGGGAGCGUAGGCGGACAGUUAAGUCAGUGGUGAAAGCCCAGGGCUCAACCCUGGAAUUGCCUUUGAUACUGAUUGUCUUGAGUAUGGGAGAGGUAUGCGGAACUCCGAGUGUAGAGGUGAAAUUCGUAGAUAUUCGGAAGAACACCAGUGGCGAAGGCGGCAUACUGGCCCAUUACUGACGCUGAGGCUCGAAAGCGUGGGGAGCAAACAGGAUUAGAUACCCUGGUAGUCC